rnacentral:rRNA from 1 species
UGAGGAGCGAAAGGCGGGGGAGCAAACAGGGGUUAGAUCCCUGGUAGUCCAUCCGUAAACGUUGGGAACUAGUUGUGGGGUCCAUUCCACGGAUUCCGUGACGCAGCUAACGCAUUAAGUUCCCGCCUGGGGAGUACGGCCGCAAGGCUAAAACUCAAAGGAAUUGACGGGGACCCGCACAAGCGGCGGAGCAUGCGGAUUAAUUCGAUGCAACGCGAAGAACCUUACCAAGGCUUGACAUAUACGAGAACGGGCCAGAAAUGGUCAACUCUUUGGACACUCGUAAACAGGUGGUGCAUGGUUGUCGUCAGCUCGUGUCGUGAGAUGUUGGGUUAAGUCCCGCAACGAGCGCAACCCUCGUUCUAUGUUCCAGCACGUAAUGGUGGGAACUCAUGGGAUACUCCGGGUCAACUCGGAGGAAGGCG